AAACUAAACAAAAUAUGUAGAUAUUACUAUAGAAUAAUCUAGAACAACAUUUAAUGCGCCAAACUAGUGCCCAAUCAGAAUUUGUUGAAAUCUGUCAUCCUAUCUUUCCAUCAUUUCACUGCCUAGUUGAGGAUUUCAAUAUUCAGAAAGCUUUUCCUUCUAAAACGUUUCAUUUUCCUUUUUGUUUUGAAGCUUUCUCUCUUCCUUUCUUCAUCUUCGGAAACUUUCUUAGUUGUGCAAGAGUAUUUGCAGAUCUCGGUGUAUGUUUGAAUCUGAUAUUAUUGGAAUCAUUUAUCUUCUGUCGGAUAUCAUAGAUAUAUACCCCUACUAGUGACCGAUCUUGACCCUUUGUGUUGCAUUUCUUUAUUAUUGCGAGGGAAUCUCCUUCGAAGAUGAUGGACUGCCAUCCUUUUUUGACUCCUAUUUGAACUGCUUUCCAACAGACUAUUGCUUUAGCAGCAAAUGCAGAGGUUAUACCAUUAUGGAUCUCUGAGCAGGAUAAAAGAACUUUUCCUUCCACAUCUCUAGCCACAAUACCUGAAGCCCAACGAUUUUGACUCCCGUUGUAUGCACCAUCGAAGUUAAUCUUGAUGAACUCACAAGUGCGCAGCAGAAAAGGCGACAUUGACAAGGGGUGAACUGCUCAAACACCAAGGCAAGCCACUGUACAAAGUCUAUGUUUUGAACCAUUAAAAUAUUCUGAAGUGAUAAUGCUGUCCAUGCUUCUACUAUAAUAGGACAUUUUCGGAAUAAAUGGUCCAUUGUUUCGGCUCUUUCUCUACAUUGGGGGCAGCUUUUGUUGGUUGCUAACUUUCUGUACUGCAUAUUUACUUUUGUAGGCAAAUAAUUCCAUGAGAGUCUCCAGAUUGUAAUCUUUAUUUUUGUUGGUAGAUUUAGGCUCCAAAGUUUUUUGUAAAAUUUCCUGUAGAUGGUUUGUAAAGCAUAAACUCUAGGAUUUGCAUCAGAACUCUGUAAUAGUUUAUAGGCACUUUGGACCGAGAAUUCACCCGACGAUUCUCCUCCCAGAUGAGGAAGUCCUCAUGAGGUGUUUGUGUCAAGGGGAUCCGAAGGAUUCUUCCAGCGUCUUCUUCUGUGAAGGUAUUAUUUAACAACAA